rnacentral:rRNA from 1 species
AGAGUUUGAUCCUGGCUCAGAACGAACGCUGGCGGCAUGCCUAACACAUGCAAGUCGAACGAGACCUUCGGGUCUAGUGGCGCACGGGUGCGUAACGCGUGGGAAUCUGCCCUUGGGUUCGGAAUAACAGCUAGAAAUGGCUGCGAAUACCGAAUAAUGACGUAAGUCCAAAGAUUUAUCGCCCAAGGAUGAGCCCGCGUAGGAUUAGCUAGUUGGUGAGGUAAAAGCUCACCAAGGCGACGAUCCUUAGCUGGUCUGAGAGGAUGAUCAGCCACACUGGGACUGAGACACGGCCCAGACUCCUACGGGAGGCAGCAGUGGGGAAUAUUGGACAAUGGGCGAAAGCCUGAUCCAGCAA